rnacentral:misc_RNA from 1 species
CUGCCCUCAAGCCCGGCUUGUGUGUUGGGCCUCGUCCCCCCUCAGCGGGGGACGGGCCCGAAAGGCAGCGGCGGCACCGUGUCCGGUCCUCGAGCGUAUGGGGCUUUGUCACCCGCUCUGUAGGCCCGGCCGGCGCCUUAGCCGACGACACAAUCUUUUUUUUCA